rnacentral:lncRNA from 1 species
AAGGUCUCUCCCAAAAGUCAUUAGUUUUCUUUUGGCUUGUAUUCUAAGAAACCGUAAUUCUCUUCCAGUGUUCACUCCAAUAGUAUGACACCAAAACUGAAAAUGAAGCUGUAGGAAAACAUUAAAUAAGGAGGACUUCUGUAAGGACAUCUGGGGACAAAUUUAUGAUUAUUCAGUUCCUCUAUGACCUAUGUUUUCCUCUUUGAAUGAGGCCUCGACUGUCUUCCUUCUCUCCCAAGGCUUGUGUUAGUGGGCAGAAAACUGUCCCUGGAGAGACCAGGCUGUUUGUGCAGAAGAUGAAGGAAUGGGUGGAGAUGAAGGAGUUGCUUCAUUUUUGCUUCUAAUACUUGAUGGAGUUGUGUCCAGGUUUAUACAGUGGAUGCUUCUUGACCAUUGCUCUGAAAUCCUACMUAUGUGCAAGUCAUGAGAGGACUAUGCUGUUGUUUAAGCAUAACCACAAGUACGGAGAUGUCUCAAAGCAGUCUCACYGGACAGCUGAGUCUGGACAAAGGAUGGACUGGUCUCCAUUUGGAACUAGAAAGGCAACUGGAAUUUAGACGAGUAGCUGAGUCACGUGGGCGGUUUGGCAAAAAGCUAUAUGAAUACACAGUGUAAUAGAGAACAGACCAAAAAACCCCCAUGGGCUGAGAGAGAGCAUCAGUACCACAGUUUGCAGGUUAUCCAGGCCAUCAAGCAGCUCAUUGGGGUUCUCCUCUUUCCAAACUGUCAUUUAUGUGGGUGGUAAAACUUAAUCCCCUCAGUCAGAGUUUACAGGGUAGCAACUGUAGAAUCACUUGGCUCCUUGUACUCAUCUGCACAGGAGAAGAGAGCAAGUAUUUUCUUAGUAGCUGCUGCUUCAUCAGUUACCUUUGAACUGCUGGCGUGGGAGAGGGGUGGAGAAGCAAAAUACAAGCUCCCAUUGUGAAGCUAUACGUGCACUAUAUGUUCUUAAGGCUGGAAGGGAAGGCUUAGCCCACGGUUUUGAGAAAGGGUUGUGUCCUUUGUCCCUUUUCCUUAGCAUAUUCAGGUGUCUAAUGGAUACCUGCGAAGGAGAGAUGCUUUUUUUUUUUUUUUUUUUUGCUUCAGAGCCUUCGUGUGGUUUUGAGGGCAAAUACCAUCGUUGCAUCUCUCCAGACGGACCUGGUGUGUGAAAUUUAGACCCCCAGCAGCCCCCACCUUUCCCUUAGAGCUGCGGUGCAGAAGUGAUGCUCUAAAACCCCCUGGGUUGUGGGGCUCAGUUCUCCUAGCGUCUCGUCUCCAGGCGUAAGGGUGAGCCUCAGCUGGGCCCGUGCUCU